rnacentral:rRNA from 3 species
UAGGGAAUCUUCCACAAUGGGCGCAAGCCUGAUGGAGCAACACCGCGUGAGUGAAGAAGGGUUUCGGCUCGUAAAGCUCUGUUGUUGGAGAAGAACGUGCGUGAGAGUAACUGUUCACGCAGUGACGGUAUCCAACCAGAAAGUCACGGCUAACUACGUGCCAGCAGCCGCGGUAAUACGUAGGUGGCAAGCGUUAUCCGGAUUUAUUGGGCGUAAAGCGAGCGCAGGCGGUUGCUUAGGUCUGAUGUGAAAGCCUUCGGCUUAACCGAAGAAGUGCAUCGGAAACCGGGCGACUUGAGUGCAGAAGAGGACAGUGGAACUCCAUGUGUAGCGGUGGAAUGCGUAGAUAUAUGGAAGAACACCAGUGGCGAAGGCGGCUGUCUGGUCUGCAACUGACGCUGAGGCUCGAAAGCAUGGGUAGCGAACAGG